rnacentral:rRNA from 1 species
AAUGGGCGAAAGCCUGAUCCAGCAAUGCCGCGUGAGUGAUGAAGGCCUUAGGGUUGUAAAGCUCUUUUACCCGGGAUGAUAAUGACAGUACCGGGAGAAUAAGCUCCGGCUAACUCCGUGCCAGCAGCCGCGGUAAUACGGAGGGAGCUAGCGUUAUUCGGAAUUACUGGGCGUAAAGCGCACGUAGGCGGCUUUGUAAGUUAGAGGUGAAAGCCUGGAGCUCAACUCCAGAAUUGCCUUUAAGACUGCAUCGCUUGAAUCCAGGAGAGGUGAGUGGAAUUCCGAGUGUAGAGGUGAAAUUCGUAGAUAUUCGGAAGAACACCAGUGGCGAAGGCGGCUCACUGGACUGGUAUUGACGCUGAGGUGCGAAAGCGUGGGGAGCAAA